UCGGGAAUUUUGGGCAAUGGGCGAAAGCCUGACCCAGCAACGCCGCGUGAGGGAUGAAGUAUUUCGGUAUGUAAACCUCGAAAGAAUGGGAAGAAUAAAUGACGGUACCAUUUAUAAGCUCCGGCUAACUACGUGCCAGCAGCCGCGGUAAUACGUAGGGAGCAAGCGUUGUUCGGAUUUACUGGGCGUAAAGGGCGCGUAGGCGGCGCGGUAAGUCACUUGUGAAAUCUCUGAGCUUAACUCAGAACGGCCAAGUGAUACUGCUGUGCUAGAGUGCGGAAGAGGCAACCGGAAUUCUUGGUGUAGCGGUAAAAUGCGUAGAUAUCAAGAGGAACACCUGAGGUGAAGACGGGUUGCUGGGCCGACACUGACGCUGAGGCGCGAAAGCCAGGGGAGCAAACG
rnacentral:rRNA from 1 species